rnacentral:rRNA from 1 species
GACGAACGCUGGCGGCGUGCUUAACGCAUGCAAGUCGAGCGGUAAGGCCCUUUCGGGGGUACACGAGCGGCGAACGGGUGAGUAACACGUGGGUGACCUGCCCUCAGCUCUGGGAUAAGCCUGGGAAACUGGGUCUAAUACCGGAUAUGACUCCAUGACGCAUGUUGUGGGGUGGAAAGCCUUGUGCGGCUGAGGAUGGGCCCGCGGCCUAUCAGCUUGUUGGUGGGGUGAUGGCCUACCAAGGCGACGACGGGUAGCCGGCCUGAGAGGGCGACCGGCCACACUGGGACUGAGACACGGCCCAGACUCCUACGGGAGGCAGCAGUGGGGAAUCUUGCGCAAUGGGCGAAAGCCUGACGCAGCGACGCCGCGUGAGGGAUGACGGCCU